rnacentral:sRNA from 1 species
GCUGGGCGUGGUGGCGGAUGCCUGUAAUCCCAGCUACUCAGGAGGCUGAGGCAGGAGAAUCACUUGAACCCAGGAGUUGGAGGUUGUAGUGAGCUGAGAUUGGCAGCACUGCAUUCCAGCCUGGGUGACAGACUGAGACUCUGUCUCAA